rnacentral:rRNA from 1 species
GAUGAACGCUGGCGGCGUGCCUAAUACAUGCAAGUCGAGCGAACGGACGAGAAGCUUGCUUCUCUGAUGUUAGCGGCGGACGGGUGAGUAACACGUGGAUAACCUACCUAUAAGACUGGGAUAACUUCGGGAAACCGGAGCUAAUACCGGAUGAUAUUUUGAACCGCAUGGUUCAAAAGUGAAAGACGGUCUUGCUGUCACUUAUAGAUGGAUCCGCGCUGCAUUAGCUAGUUGGUAAGGUAACGGCUUACCAAGGCAACGAUGCAUAGCCGACCUGAGAGGGUGAUCGGCCGCACUGGAACUGAGACACGGUCCAGACUCCUACGGGAUGCAGCAGUAGGGAAUCUUCCGCAAUGGGCGAAAGCCUGACGGAGCAACGCCGCGUGAGUGAUGAAGGUCUUCGGAUCGUAAAACUCUGUUAUUAGGGAAGAACAUAUGUGUAAGUAACUGUGCACAUCUUGACGGUACCUAAUCAGAAAGCCACGGCUAACUACGUG